AUACGUAGGGGGCGAGCGUUGUCCGGAAUUAUUGGGCGUAAAGCGCGCGCAGGCGGCCGAUUAAGUCAGGUGUGAAAGGCUGCGGCUCAACCGCAGAGUUGCAUCUGAAACUGGUCGGCUUGAGUGCAGGAGAGGGGAGCGGAAUUCCCGGUGUAGCGGUGGAAUGCGUAGAGAUCGGGAGGAACACCAGUGGCGAAGGCGGCUCUCUGGCCUGUAACUGACGCUGAGGCGCGAAAGCGUGGGGAGCGAACAGGAUUAGAUACCCUGGUAGUCCACGCCGUAAACGAUGAGUGCUAGGUGCUGGGGGCAUCAGGCCCUCUGUGCCGAAGGAAACCCAAUAAGCACUCCGCCUGGGGAGUACGGCCGCAAGGCUGAA
rnacentral:rRNA from 1 species